GAUGAACGCUGGCGGCGUGCCUAACACAUGCAAGUUGAGCGAGAAAUCACUUAAAGAAGCUUCGGUAGACUUAAGAGAUGGAGAGCAGCGGACGGGUGAGUAACGCGUGGGAAACCUGCCCUUGACAGGAGGAUAGCCGAGAGAAAUUUCGAUUAAUACUUCAUAAAGCAGAGCAUUCGCAUGGAUGAACUGCCAAAGAAUUAUCGGUCAAGGAUGGUCCCGCGUCUGAUUAGCUGGUUGGUAAGGUAGCGGCUUACCAAGGCGACGAUCAGUAGCCGGCCUGAGAGGGUGAACGGCCACAUUGGAACUGAGACACGGUCCAGACUCCUACGGGAGGCAGCAGUGGGGAAUAUUGCACAAUGGGCUAAAGCCUGAUGCAGCAACGCCUCGUGAAGGAAGAAGGCUUUCGAGUCGUAAACUUCUGUCCAAAGGGAAGAAUAAUGACGGUACCUUUGAAGAAAGCCCCGGCUAACUACGUGCCAUCAGUCGCGGUAAUUCGGUGUGGGUGGAGCGUUUCCGUAAUUACUGUGCUUUUAGAGUAUUGUAGUUGGUUAAGUGAGCGUUGGGGUUAGUGUUGUUAGUUUGAUGGUGUGUUUCUGUUUUAUAUUUUUGUAUUUUUUUGGUGUUGUGUGAGGGUGUGAGUGUUUGUUGGCUUGUAUUUGUUUU
rnacentral:rRNA from 1 species